rnacentral:lncRNA from 1 species
CACUACCAGUCCAUGACCCCGAACCUAGGCGUUCGGAGCGUAUUCGGAAGAAGAGGUUAGGUGACUGGCCUAACCCCAUUACUUAGCUAUAUAUAGCCUUACAUUCAAAGAGGUUCUGAUAAGUCUCAGACCUUUGUAAGAUUGUUUAAGUUCAUAGAGUGUCUGAUAAGUCUCAGACCUUUGUAGGUUUAUUUGGGGAAGGGACUUGCCUGUUUCAAGUAUUUUACAGGUCCGGCCUUAUGCCACCUCUUCACCCAUCAUAUAUAUACUGUAGUUGAUAUGUAUAUCGUCCAUGUUUGUGACGUGAAAUAACAUUCUAAUUAGCUCUGUGCAUUUAUACAACUCGGCAGAAGAGAUCUGCUGUGAACUUUUGGUUUAUACAGAAUGGUCAAUAAGCCAAUUAUACUCAUUUAUUGACCUAAAUAUGUUUUGUUUACUUGUUUUAUAUCAGAGACUGCUGUAAAGAAGACUGAAUAAGAUAUAUUCAGAGGAGAUUAUUGCAUCACUCGAUGAUGUCUAGUAAACAGGCAGUAUUCUUAUUUGGACAUUCAUUUCCGGCUCGCCUUCUUCGGCAUGCUCGGGAACAACAUGUCGAAGUGUCAUCCUUAAUAGGCUUAGAUGAUAGUUGUAGCAUAUUUGUUGAAGGUCAUCCAGGGUUGACCUAUUCUCGGAUUUUCGAUUCUAUCCCUCAUUAUUUGAGUAAGAUGAAAUCUAGAUCAAUCGAUGUACUCAUUGUGGAUCUUGGAACGAAUGAUCUGUGCAAUCCAGAUUGUACCCCUGGAAAAGUGGUCGAAAUGGUUGUUAAGUUUCUAGAAUUGAUUGCAACCUGGGGAAUCACUCCGAACCAUAUAAUCUUCCUAUCGGUAAUCAAAAGAACAACCAUCUCAAGAGCUGGGCAAGUUAGGGUCUCAACAUUUAAUCAUAGGGUAAAACGCUUCAACUCCCUUCUCAGUGCAACAUUGGAAAGAUAUCCAAAGGCUACAAUGUAUGCACAGCGGAGAAUUAACCACCCCAAGUGCCUCUCAGAUGGAUGCCAUCUUAACUCAGAUGGUAUGAUUAAUUAUUGCCGUGGGAUAAAAGGAGCCAUUGAUCGAUGUUAGGUAUAACCAUAGUAUAACAUAGCGUUAACUAUUGUGUAUGAAUGUAAAUUAACACAUCUUUGUGCAUUGUAUAACUAGUAAGAAAACCAUUCUGUAGAUUUGUUCACGGUGUUAUAUACAUGUAUCUAGUUUACUCAAUACAUAUUCGUGUAUAUGUAUGGACGUGAUAUGUUAAUAAUGCUCGGUUUUCAAGGUACUUGCUCUGUGUGAGUCGGGUUCAUCCCAUACCAACCGAUUGCCUAGUUUCAUUUUAAACAAGGUGUUUUUUAUUAUACGCUGUUAUAACAUUGUAGUUUACAUCAUUUUGUAUGUGUAUGAUUACUGAUACUGUAUUUAGAAAAAUUCUUUGUAAUUGUGGCCUAUAAUUGGAAUUGCUAAUGAAGGACCAUUCGGGGGCGCAUGGUCUCAAAGCAGGGAAGUUGUAGGGGUCCGUGUCUUUUGAGAGACUCCGUAGUCUUCGUGUGAGACCGUGAUUUCAUCAGUUCUAUUUAUAGCGUGUAGCGACAUGUCACCGCUAUUCAUCCACAUGUGGUGCAAAUAGUUCCUUUGAGGAAAAGUAAUUAUUUAAAACAGUUUGGACGCAUCAAUCCUGAAUUCACUUAUUUGUAAACUUCUAUUAAUGUGGGAGAUUGUAUCCUGUAACUGUUAGAGACACUUUUGCUGAGCUAAUAGUAUCAGGAGAGGGGUUGUGAGGCGCAUUAAUCUACAUGUGUUUUGCCAUCUUGGAAAGUGAUGAGCAAUACCGUCCUUUUCGGAUCAGCUGCCAAUGUGUUGGCGAGUUUGAUGCCAUAACACAACCCAGCUUGGCGUUCGGGGAAAUUUGAAGUUGAGGAAAUUUAGCAAUUUAUAAGGGAAAUUUAGGGAAAUUAAGCAACAGUUGAACGUAACGGCAUUUUGUACUGGAAUUUAAGUUAAUUGACAAUUGUAGACCACGCAAAUUCUAUACCCUAGCUCGUGUAACACUGGUUUAUUUCAUAUAACACUACUUGCCAUUGUGGGAACUGAUUGUCAUUUAUUUCAUUCUGCUUUGUUUAUAUAAAAUCAGACAUCAAUUAAAAUAAUUUGAUAUUCCAAUCUGAGAAGUGAAA